rnacentral:rRNA from 1 species
AACGAACGCUGGCGGCGUGCUUAACACAUGCAAGUCGAACGGAGAUUCAGCAAUGGAUCUUAGUGGCGAACGGGUGAGUAACGCGUAGGCAAUCUGCCUUCUAGAUGGGGACAACAUCCCGAAAGGGGUGCUAAUACCGAAUGUUGUAGUUGGUUCGCAUGGACUAGCUACUAAAGGUGGCCUCUGAAUAUGCUACCGCUAGAAGAUGAGCCUGCGUCUGAUUAGCUAGUUGGAGGGGUAACGGCCCACCAAGGCUUCGAUCAGUAGCCGGUCUGAGAGGAUGAACGGCCACACUGGGACUGAGACACGGCCCAGACUCCUACGGGAGGCAGCAGUGGGGAAUCUUCCGCAAUGGACGAAAGUCUGACGGAGCAACGCCGCGUGAGUGAAGAAGGUUUUCGGAUCGUAAAGCUCUUUCGAUAGGGAAUAAACGUCGGAUUCGUCCGGCCUGAAUGUACCUAUAAAGGAAGCACCGGCAAACUUCGUGCCAGCAGCCGCAGUAA